UAGAGUUUGAUCCUGGCUCAAGAUGACCUCUAGCUACAGGCUUAACACAUGCAAGUCGAGGGGCAGCAUCAUCAAAGCUUGCUUUGAUGGAUGGCGACCGGCGCACGGGUGAGUAACACGUAUCCAACCUGCCGACAACACUGGGAUAGCCUUUCAAAAGAAAGAUUAAUACCGGAUGGCAUAUUUUUCCCGCAUGGGAUAAUUAUUAAAGAAUUUCGGUUGUCGAUGGGGAUGCGUUCCAUUAGGCAGUUGGCGGGGUAACGGCCCACCAAACCAACGAUGGAUAGGGGUUCUGAGAGGAAGGUCCCCCACAUUGGAACUGAGACACGGUCCAAACUCCUACGGGAGGCAGCAGUGAGGAAUAUUGGUCAAUGGACGAGAGUCUGAACCAGCCAAGUAGCGUGAAGGAUGACUGCCCUAUGGGUUGUAAACUUCUUUUAUACGGGAAUAAAGUUAGCCACGUGUGGCUUUUUGUAUGUACCGUAUGAAUAAGGAUCGGCUAACUCCGUGCCAGCAGCCGCGGUAAUACGGAGGAUCCGAGCGUUAUCCGGAUUUAUUGGGUUUAAAGGGAGCGUAGGCGGGUUGUUAAGUCAGUUGUGAAAGUUUGCGGCUCAACCGUAAAAUUGCAGUUGAUACUGGCGACCUUGAGUGCAACAGAGGUAGGCGGAAUUCGUGGUGUAGCGGUGAAAUGCUUAGAUAUCACGAAGAACUCCGAUUGCGAAGGCAGCUUACUGGAUUGUAACUGACGCUGAUGCUCGAAAGUGUGGGUAUCAAACAGGAUUAGAUACCCUGGUAGUCCACACAGUAAACGAUGAAUACUCGCUGUUGGCGAUAUACGGUCAGCGGCCAAGCGAAAGCAUUAAGUAUUCCACCUGGGGAGUACGCCGGCAACGGUGAAACUCAAAGGAAUUGACGGGGGCCCGCACAAGCGGAGGAACAUGUGGUUUAAUUCGAUGAUACGCGAGGAACCUUACCCGGGCUUAAGUUGCAACUGACUGAACCGGAAACGGUUCUUUCUUCGGACAGUUGUGAAGGUGCUGCCU
rnacentral:rRNA from 1 species